AUUGAACGCUGGCGGCAGGCCUAACACAUGCAAGUCGGACGGUAGCACAGAGGAGCUUGCUCCUCGGGGGACGAGUGGCGGACGGGUGAGUAAUGUCUGGGGAUCUGCCCGAUAGAGGGGGAUAACCACUGGAAACGGUGGCUAAUACCGCAUAACGUCGCAAGACCAAAGAGGGGGACCUUCGGGCCUCUCACUAUCAGAUGAACCCAGAUGGGAUUAGCUAGUAGGCGGGGUAAUGGCCCACCUAGGCGACGAUUCCUAGCUGGUCUGAGAGGAUGACCCGCCACACUGGAACUGAGACACGGUCCAGACUCCUACGGGAGGCAGCAGUGGGGAAUAUUGCACAAUGGGCGCAAGCCUGAUGCAGCCAUGCCGCGUGUAUGAAGAAGGCCUUCGGGUUGUAAAGUACUUUCAGCGGGGAGGAAGGCGAUAAGGUUAAUAACCUUGUCGAUUGACGUUACCCGCAGAAGAAGCACCGGCUAACUCCGUGCCAGCCGCCGCAGUAA
rnacentral:rRNA from 1 species